CCUACGGGAGGCAGCAGUGGGGAAUAUUGGACAAUGGGGGCAACCCUGAUCCAGCCAUGCCGCGUGAGUGAAGAAGGCCUUAGGGUUGUAAAGCUCUUUCAGCGGGGAAGAUGAUGACGGUACCCGCAGAAGAAGCCCCGGCUAACUCCGUGCCAGCAGCCGCGGUAAU
rnacentral:rRNA from 1 species